rnacentral:misc_RNA from 1 species
AGGUUGGCCCGAGCCGGAGUCUGAAGGGAGGCCGCCGUCGUCUUCUUCUCACACUCUUCUCAUUAAUAGUAAUUGAGGAAGGAAUAAGAGCUUGAUAUAUCCUUGUUCCAGUUGCUUCAAUGGCCACAAUAGCUUCUGGUGCUUUGGUUAAUUUAGAAGAGCUAGUUCCAACUUCCCAACACUUUAAGCAUGGGAUCUCUCUCCGUGUAACUGGAAAGCUCCAAGAUUAUGAUGUGGAGACUGCUGUUGCUGUGAUUGUUGAUAGAAAUGCAUCAUUAAAA